rnacentral:rRNA from 1 species
UAAGGAAUAUUGGUCAAUGGGCGGAAGCCUGAACCAGCCAUGCCGCGUGCAGGAAGAAGGCUCUAUGGGUUGUAAACUGCUUUUGUAGUGGAAUAAACCUGGUUACGCGUAACCAGCUGAAAGUACAUUACGAAUAAGGAUCGGCUAACUCCGUGCCAGCAGCCGCGGUAAUACGGAGGAUCCAAGCGUUAUCCGGAUUUAUUGGGUUUAAAGGGUGCGUAGGCGGCUAUAUAAGUCAGGGGUGAAAACUUUGAGCUCAACUGAAAGCUUGCCUUUGAUACUGUAUAGCUUGAAUGCAGAUGAAGUAGGCGGAAUGUGGCAAGUAGCGGUGAAAUGCAUAGAUAUGCCACAGAACACCAAUUGCGAAGGCAGCUUACUAAAGUGCUAUUGACGCUGAUGC